rnacentral:rRNA from 1 species
GUGGGGAAUCUUGCGCAAUGGGCGAAAGCCUGACGCAGCCAUGCCGCGUGAAUGAUGAAGGUCUUAGGAUUGUAAAAUUCUUUCACCGGGGACGAUAAUGACGGUACCCGGAGAAGAAGCCCCGGCUAACUUCGUGCCAGCAGCCGCGGUAAUACGAAGGGGGCUAGCGUUGCUCGGAAUUACUGGGCGUAAAGGGCGCGUAGGCGGACAUUUAAGUCAGAGGUGAAAGCCCAGGGCUCAACCUUGGAAUUGCCUUUGAUACUGGAUGUCUUGAGUUCGGGAGAGGUGAGUGGAAUGCCGAGUGUAGAGGUGAAAUUCGUAGAUAUUCGGCGGAACACCAGUGGCGAAGGCGACUCACUGGCCCGAUACUGACGCUGAGGCGCGAAAGCGUGGGGAGCAAACAGGAUUAGAAACCCUGGUAGUCC